GGAAGUGAGGGGCAGGCUCAGGAUGCCAGCUCCUCUGGUCCCACCGUGCCCCCAAACCUUCUGGGUCCCGGGCUGGACCUCCAUCUGAACUCACAUUUAUUCCUCCCCCCAGUCCUGUGAGGUAGCUCCUAGUCACCCCCAAUUUAUAGACAGGGCCCCUGAGGUUCAGAGAAGAGAAGUAAGUUGCAUAAGUACCCUCAGCACUUAAGUGGCGAGUGCCUGAGGCAAUAAGUAGCCACUGGAUAACUAUGCUUUAGAUAAACGAAUAACUGGAAAGCCAAGACUCACAUAACAGGUCUACCUGCCUCCAGAGCUGGGCUCUCAGCCUCCCUAUCUGCUACUCAAGUACUCCUGGCCUGUAUAUUUCAGCCACACCCUCAUUCGACCUCCAUCAGUUUCCCCUGGACCAGAACACAGGACCCCUGGAUCCCUGGUCUGAGGCAUGCCUGGCUGUGGUCAUCCCAUUACCCAACAUCCAGCCUCAGUUUCUUCAUCUGUAUAAUGGAAUCAGCGAUUCUCCUAUCUCCCCAUUAACUCCUAUGUAGGAGACUCCUUUUUCAGUUGGGGUUUUGGGGGUUUCAGCCACACUGGCCCCUGCCUAGUGGAGGGAGUGGAUAGGCAGCCCCGCCCGGCAAGAGUGUCGUGUCCACAGUUAUCAGGACGGCCAGGGCGGAAGGAGUCGCUGAGGCCGGAACUACCGGAGGUGGGGGAGGGGGCGACCUCCACCCCUCCCCCAAGAACCCAGCCUGCGGGGCCUGGAUGCCUGGGUCCUCUAGCUGCAUGGGGUUCUUAGCGACCGGGCAAGGAGGAAGGCGUCCCCCACCCAUGGACCUGGAUAGGGGUCCGGACGCGUCGCCUGAGCACUCUCACCACCUGGGGUCGCUGACCAGCGCACCCAGGCCCGGACCCCGUCCGCACCAGGGGCCCCAAGAGUCCAGCUCGCCGGACUUCGCCCGGCUGAGAUCCGGGAGUCUGGAUGUCCAGCCCCGAGGGCGCCAUCUUCCCCUAGGGGUGCCGCCGCUUCCGGGUCUGUCCCAAGGUGGGGGCGUGGCCCUGAACGUCAUCCACGUGGACUCCGCCCCGCGGGGCCUGGCUCCCGCCCCCUGCGCACCUGGCCCCGCCCCGCCGUCGGUUUUCAGAGAGGUUGCUGGGUUCCGUGUGGAGACGACCCGCGAAUGAGUCCACGCAGACGCGCACCAAGUCGCCGGACGACGCACUCACAGACCCAUGUGAAGGACACAAGGGGGACAUCUGUGACAACAGAGGCAGAGCCUGAAGUCCUGCUGCCACAAGCCAAGGGACACCAAGGACUGCCGGCAGCCACAAGAACCCAGGGAGAGGCAAGGAAAGACCCUCUCUUCCAUGCUACAGGAGUAUAGCCCUGCCAACGCCUCGAUUCUGUACUGCCGGCCCCCAGAACUGUAUGACAAUAAACGUCUGUUGCUCUAA